rnacentral:rRNA from 1 species
UACGGAGGGUGCAAACGUUGCUCGGAAUUAUUGGGCGUAAAGCGCACGUAGGCGGCUCGGAAAGUCGGAUGUGAAAGCCCAGGGCUCAACCCUGGAAGUGCACUCGAAACUCCCGAGCUGGAGUCCCGGAGAGGAAGGCGGAAUUCUCGGUGUAGAGGUGAAAUUCGUAGAUAUCGAGAGGAACACCUGUGGCGAAGGCGGCCUUCUGGACGGUGACUGACGCUGAGAUGCGAAAGCGUGGGGAGCAAACAGG